rnacentral:rRNA from 1 species
CCCUUAGAUGUUCGGGGCCGCACGCGCGCUACACUGAAGGAAUCAGCACGUCUUUCUCCUUGUCCGAAAGGACUGGGUAACCCGCUGAACCUCCUUCGUGCUAGGGAUUGGGGCUUGUAAUUCUUCCCCAUGAACGAGGAAUUCCCAGUAAGCGUGAGUCAUAAGCUCGCGUUGAUUACGUCCCUGCCCUUUGUACACACCGCCCGUCGCUACUACCGAUUGGAUGGUUUAGUGAGAUCCUCGGAUUGGUCCCGGCGCGGCCUCUGGUCGUGCCGGAGUGCCGAAAAGAAUGUCGAACUUGAUCAUCUAGAGGAAGUAAAAGUCGUAACA